CGUAGCUCAGCUGGAUAGAGCACCGGCCUUCUAAGCCGGGUGUCGGGGGUUCGAAUCCCUUCG
rnacentral:tRNA from 1 species